GUACUGCUGAAGAGUCCCGAAUUAAGGGAACGAAACAGCUGUCCAGUAC
rnacentral:hammerhead_ribozyme from 1 species